CAGCUGCGGCGCGUGGCACAGCGGGCUGUCCAGCACCGGCCCCACAGCCGCCUCCGCCUCUAGCGCCAGCUCGCCCCCCGACAGCUGGAACAGCCGGUUAACGGCCGCCAGGUGUGUGAACUGCCCCCCUCGUCGUGAGAGAGCGCGCCCGAGACCUGGGUGAGGCUGUACGGAGAGCCAGGGUCCGGCCCGGAAUGGGGGCUGACCGGGCCUCGCGUCCUGCAGCGGACGCUUUGUUUGCCCACGUAGUUCGUGUCCCUGCAGGCUACAUGAAAGAGCCCUGAGCGAUUGCCCAGCCCAGAGCUGGCCUCCUACCACGGGAUCGCGACACAGGGCAGAGCCGCGGGCUCAGGGGUCACCCAGGAGGGACCGGGCUCCCUGGGCACCCCACCGAGUUCCCCAUGCAGGAGGGGACACGGGUGGGCCCCAGUGCAUGGCACGCUCAGCACUGUGUGGACGCUUCAAGCCGAAGCAAUGGUAGAGCCGACAGCCAAGAGGAGUGGCUGUGGGAUGUGGGCACAGCAUCGUUGUCUCCAGACUGUUUCCACUAAGAGCAGAGCACCCAGGCACUGGAGGAAAGUCAGGGGGAAGCUCGUAGGCUCGGUCUCCCGUGCAGCUGCAGCAGUUACACCAGCGUAACGGUGAGGGUUGAGCGCGGAGGCACCUUACCACAAACAAAUAGCCAGCAGCAGUUAAAACAAGGGGGGGAAAUGGAGGCUGCUGUUUGGUCACGGCUGCCUGGAAAUGCUGUGCAGGCGAGCCCCGAGACCUGUCCUCCCUCUCCCCAAGCUGUGCCUUGCUGCCCUGCCUCUUCUCGUGGCACGGAUCUUUCGUUAUACAAAACAUGUUAGUGAGGCUGGUGGGGAUUCUGCACGACUUCUGUUCUGGAGAGAAAAAUCCUCUGUUGUUGUCUAAUCUCAUUUCUACACCUGCCAAUUUCCCUCUCCCUCUCCUGUUCUCCUCACCCUCUUCAGAGCACUAAUUAAUACACAGCUGCCUUGGCCAUGCCAUGUCCACUGAAAAUCUGCAUUGAAUUAAAUGCUAUGCUUUCGUGCUAUCUAA